GACGAACGCUGGCGGCGUGCUUAACACAUGCAAGUCGUGCGGAAAGGCCCCUUUGGGGGUGCUCGAGCGGCGAACGGGUGAGUAACACGUGAGUAAUCUGCCCUGCACUUUGGGAUAACUGCCGGAAACGGUGGCUAAUACUGGAUAGGACUGCAUCCUGCAUGGGGUGUGGUGGAAAGCCUUUGGGUGGUGUGGGAUGUGCUCGCGGCCUAUCAGCUUGAUGGUGGGGUAGUGGCCUACCAUGGCUUUGACGGGUAGCCGGCCUGAGAGGGUGACCGGUCACACUGGGACUGAGACACGGCCCAGACUCCUGCGGGAGGCAGCAGUGGGGAAUAUUGGACAAUGGGCGGAAGCCUGAUCCAGCAACGCCGCGUGAGGGAUGACGGCCUCGGUUGUAACCGUACUUUCGCUCAUGACG
rnacentral:rRNA from 1 species